GGCGGCAUAGCCAAGCGGUAAGGCAGAGGUCUGCAAAACCUUUAUUCCCCAGUUCGAUUCUGGGUGCCGCCU
rfam:Veillonella parvula DSM 2008, complete genome.